AUAUUUUAUGAUAGUAAUUAAUAGUUUAUAUUAUUUAACACAUUUUCUAACGUUAUAAAAAAAAAAAAAAAAAAAAAAAAACUCAAAAAAUUCAUAAAAUCUGUCAUCCCUAUACCCAACAGCUAAUUUUGUGGUAAAAUGUUGGCAAAGAACUAUUCACAUUAAUAUCCCCAAUUUCCCAUACACUUUUCUUAAAGUUGGAAAAAAAAUAAAUUAAUUUGGUACUACAUAAUAUCAACAGCUACAAGCCUACAAGCAGGUUCAAUUCAAAGUCUGUCACCCAGAACUGCAGCCGCCUGCCGACCCGCCGCCCUUCCAGCCGCCGGACUUCAGCCGGCAAUCCAUCCUCUCAAUUUCAGAAAAUAUUACUUGGUGGACUCGGCAUAUCCAAAUACUCUUGGAUAUAUGUCGCCGUACAUCGGGGGAGUAAGAGUACAUAUACCUAAAUUUAGAAAAUCAGCACCUAGAGGAUUAAAAGAAACAUUUUAAUAACCUACAUUCAUCGUUAAGAAUGAAGCUGGAAUGUUCGUUUGGACAGUUGAAGAAAAUGUGGAGUAUAUUAGAUAACAUGCCACAAGUGUCACUAAAGAGUCAAAUGCCAAUCAUUGUAGCCACUUGCACACUACAUAAUUUUAUUCGGAUGCAUACGCUUGGCAUACCAAUCAUUUAACAUGAUACAAAUCAAGGAGUAGCAGAUUCAACUAUGUUUGCACCUUAGUGCGACCUACAUCGUAUAGCACGCCGAAUUUGGAGGGCUAAUCGAACAUAAAGCGACAAUGAAGGUGAUGACAAUGAAGAUGAAAGCGGCAAUGAAGAUGAUGACAAUGUAGAUCAUAUGGAAGUAGAUGGUUAGUUAACCAAGAUGUUAAACUCUUAUCUAAUUAUGUUCUAAUUUAGAUAUGUGCUUGUAAUAAUUUAAAGAUGUUAAACUCUUGUCUUUUAUCUUUCUACUAUUUAGAUAUGUUAAAGAUGGUACACAUCUAUUUAUGUUUUCA